CCUACGGGCGGCAGCAGUGAGGAAUAUUGGUCAAUGGCCGUAAGGCUGAACCAGCCAAGUAGCGUGAGGGAAGACUGCCCUAUGGGUUGUAAACCUCUUUUGUGCGGGGACAAAGGUUGCCACGUGUGGAUGGUUGCAGGUACCGCAUGAAUAAGGACCGGCUAAUUCCGUGCCAGCAGCCGCGGUAAUACGGAAGGUCCGGGCGUUAUCCGGAUUUAUUGGGUUUAAAGGGAGCGUAGGCCGGUCUUUAAGCGUGCGGUGAAAUUUUGUGGCUCAACCAUGGGAGGGCGGGGCGAACUGGAGUCGUUGGGUGCACGGAAGGCAGGGGGAAUUGGGGGUGUAGCGGUGAAAGGAUUGGAUAUCACGAAGAACCCGGAUUGGGAGG
rnacentral:rRNA from 1 species